AGAGGUGUUGGAAGCAGAGGGAAGCAGGGAAGGGAAGUUGUCAGUGGCCUUCAGAUAAGAGGACAUUCGACCUUGGCUGAGACCAAGGUCCUCUCUGGAGGCCCCCCCAGCAUGCCAGCACAGCCCCAGGGGAGGCUAUGGAAGUCUCUUUGCCUUCAGCAGCCCCGCUCAGCCAGGGCUGGAUGUUGGGCCUCUCGUUAUCUGCUUAUGCCACAUGGAGGCAAAUCAUGCUGGGCACAGAAGACUUGGCUGGCCUGCAGGAAGCUGGAAGAGCUUCUGUCCCUCUGGGGUCAGAGGUGGCUGGAAUUUGGCAGUCGGGGACAUGGGAACUUCCUGUGACCCUCCCAGAGCUGAGACUGGCAGCAGGAACCAGACAGGGAGCUCGUGGUGGUCAAGAAACGACAGAGAGAUUUGCAUGGCCACUUCCUUCUACAGAGAAGCAUCGGCAGUGGGCUGAGCGGUCCUGAGGAAUUUCUGGAGGAGCCCUUGUGUCUGCGUCUCUUUCUCCAGGCAACUUCACCAAGCAGCAUCUGAUGUGUCAGGCUGGAGUCAUCGCAAGCUGCAAGACACUGAAGAUCAGGAGAUGAAGCCACAAUCUUAUCCUUUCCUGCAUCCUUAUCCCCACCCAGACCCUCGAGUACCCCAGAGACUUUGGAGAUCCGGAUGAAAAUCAACUUAACUCAGGAGACACCUAGUUUAGGCUUAUAGUCAUGUGGUUUGCUGUCGCUUCUGUGGGUAGUCUGAUAAUUGCUAAUCAUCUUGGUGUGGAAAUUGCUUCCAGGAACAUUGGUAGCACUUUCUGUGCCGACUGUCUCGUGUGACAAGGAAUAUUGUGACAUAAAGGCUCCGGGCCAGAGGCCGUGUCACGACAUGAAUGCACCUUGUGGUGCCCAAAUGACGGCAGAGAAGCCACGUUUGAAAUGGACAUAGACAAUCCCCCCACCCCCAUCUCCUGAAUUUUGAAUCCAGAAUGCAGGUAUCUUGAUCCAAAGAAUGAUAAACUGUACCUAGCCCCUUUGUGUUCCAUAAAGCAGGAACAGAUUUUAGCAUUCAGAAAUAAGUGCUGGUGGCACUUCACUGCCAGGCUUUCUUCUCUGGACACAUAUGUAAGUAAAUCAAGGUUGUGUUGAA
rnacentral:lncRNA from 1 species